rnacentral:rRNA from 1 species
CCUACGGGGGGCAGCAGUGAGGAAUAUUGGUCAAUGGACGCAAGUCUGAACCAGCCAUGCCGCGUGCAGGAAGACGGCUCUAUGAGUUGUAAACUGCUUUUGUACGAGGGUAAACGCAGAUACGCGUAUCUGUCUGAAAGUAUCGUACGAAUAAGGAUCGGCUAACUCCGUGCCAGCAGCCGCGGUAAUACGGAGGAUUCAAGCGUUAUCCGGAUUUAUUGGGUUUAAAGGGUGCGUAGGCGGUCGGAUAAGUUAGAGGUGAAAUCCCGAGGCUCAACUUCGGAAUUGCCUCUGAUACUGUUCGGCGAGAGAGUAGUGGCGGUAGGCGGAAUGUAUGGGGUAGCGGUGAAAUGCUUAGAGAUCAUACAGAACACCGAUUGCGAAGGCAGCUUACCAAGCUACUUCUGACGUUGAGGCACGAAAGCGUGGGGAGCAAACAGGAUUAGAUACCCGAGUAGUC